AGCGACGACGGUAGCCGCCUGAGAGGUGACCGGCACACUGGGACUGAGACACGGCCCAGACUCCUACGGAGGCAGCAGUGGGAAUAUUGCACAAUGGGCGAAAGCCUGAUGCAGCGACGCCGCGUGAGGGAUGACGGCCUUCGGGUUGUAAACCUCUUUCAGUAGGGAAGAAGCGAAAGUGACGGUACCUGCAGAAGAAGCACCGGCUAACUACGUGCCAGCAGCCGCGGUAAUACGUAGGGUGCGAGCGUUAUCCGGAAUUAUUGGGCGUAAAGAGCUCGUAGGCGGUUUGUCGCGUCUGUCGUGAAAGUCCGGGGCUUAACCCCGGAUCUGCGGUGGGUACGGGCAGACUAGAGUGCAGUAGGGGAGACUGGAAUUCCUGGUGUAGCGGUGGAAUGCGCAGAUAUCAGGAGGAACACCGAUGGCGAAGGCAGGUCUCUGGGCUGUAACUGACGCUGAGGAGCGAAAGCAUGGGGAGCGAACAGGAUUAGAUACCCUGGUAGUCCAUGCCGUAAACGUUGGGCACUAGGUGUGGGGACCAUUCCACGGUUUCCGCGCCGCAGCUAACGCAUUAAGUGCCCCGCCUGGGGAGUACGGCCGCAAGGCUAAAACUCAAAGGAAUUGACGGGGGCCCGCACAAGCGGCGGAGCAUGCGGAUUAAUUCGAUGCAACGCGAAGAACCUUACCAAGGCUUGACAUGUUCUCGAUCGCCGUAGAGAUACGGUUUCCCCUUUGGGGCGGGUUCACAGGUGGUGCAUGGUUGUCGUCAGCUCGUGUCGUGAGAUGUUGGGUUAAGUCCCGCAACGAGCGCAACCCUCGUUCCAUGUUGCCAGCACGUCGUGGUGGGGACUCAUGGGAGACUGCCGGGGUCAACUCGGAGGAAGGUGAGGACGACGUCAAAUCAUCAUGCCCCUUAUGUCUUGGGCUUCACGCAUGCUACAAUGGCCGGUACAAUGGGUUGCGAUACUGUGAGGUGGAGCUAAUCCCAAAAAGCCGGUCUCAGUUCGGAUUGGGGUCUGCAACUCGACCCCAUGAAGUCGGAGUCGCUAGUAAUCGCAGAUCAGCAACGCUGCGGUGAAUACGUUCCCGGGCCUUGUACACACCGCCCGUCAAGUCACGAAAGUCGGUAACACCCGAAGCCGGUGGCCUAACCCUUGUGGGGGAGCCGUCGAAGGU
rnacentral:rRNA from 1 species